rnacentral:rRNA from 1 species
GGAGGGUGCAAGCAUUAAUCGGAUUUACUGGGCGUAAAGGGUGCGUAGGCGGCAAAUCAAGUCAGGUGUGAAAUUCCGGUACUCAAUACCGGAGCUGCACUUGAAACUAGUUUGCUUGAGGAUAGACGGAGAGAACGGAAUUCCACGUGUAGCGGUGAAAUGCGUAGAUAUGUGGAAGAACACCUGUGGCGAAAGCGGUUCUCUAGUUUAUUUCUGACGCUGAGGCACGAGAGUGUGGGGGGAGCAAACAGGAUUAGAUACCCUGGUAGUCCACACCGUAAACGAUGUGUACUUGGUGUAGAUCGGCUCAACCCGGUCUGUACCGUAGCAAACGCGUUAAGUACACCGCCUGAGUAGUACGCCCGCAAGGGUG